AGGGGACAGUCUUCAGGAUAACGACAGGGACCUCUCACUUGAAACCCUAGCACUCUCGGAUGACCCCACAGGAGCUCAGGGGAGGACCCCGUGGCUGUGAUUCUGUGAUUCGAACAAAGAUCCUGGGCCACACUGCUAUAACUUCAAAUGGGGAUGGGUAAAUAACUUUUCAGGAUUACUUGGGCUGCUAUUUUGAAGUGGGACAGAAGAUGAUCAAGGCUUGAUCCAGGAAGACCCUUUAGAUGGAUACUCCACGAUCCAGGUUGGAUAAAAGAGGAAAAAGAAUAAAUCCUCCUUUGUAAGGAAUCAGCUGGCUGAGUGAACUGGGAGCUACUCCAACAAUUUACUCGAAGGUGAGGAUGAAAUUCUACUGAAGAAUCUGGAUGACAGAGCAGAUCUAAUCUAUUUCCAAGGACAUCUGGUCAGCAAUUGACUUCAACACAACCUUUGACUCAAUAGCGAGAGCCACACAUUUAGGAACUCCAAGGAAAUCUCAGCUAGAGCCCAGUUUCAAGAAAUGUCACAGCACUCUUGUGAGCCAAAACAUGGACCACCACAGAGGCUUUUCCUAAACUGAGGCCCAAGCAUGAAAUGCAUUGCAAGUGCUCACUAAUCGAAGCCUCUCCAUCUCCCCACCAAGAAAUCUUGUACAAUUGAUUGGAAGAUACAUAAUGGCGAGUGGUAAUCUCCCUGGUGAUGCAAUUCACACAAGUGCCUGUUCUCUCCUCACCACAAGAAUGUGGCAAGUGUGUGCAACCGAGUAGCACAUAGAAGAAAGAGAAGUCCACAUAGCUGAAGUGGACCCCCUCAGUCUCCAUCCAUGAACUGCAAAGCAGAGAAAACAACAUACCUCUAAAUCUCCUGAGAUAUUGGCACCAGCUAGAAUCCCAGUUGCUGCUGGGAAAAAAAUGGCAAAGACGGAGAAGAAGCCUUCGCCCUUUGUGAAACUUGGCCCAAAGUUUUCUGCAAAUAUUGAUGCUGCAACACAAAUAAUGAGAAAACUGUCAUGCAGACUUUCUUCACAGCUACUGAAAUUCCUAAAAGAAUCACCACUGUGAUGGAGCCUAUUAUCCGGAUGUCAUUGGUUGGAUCCACCAUCAUCGAAUCACUCUCCUGGAGCAAAAAAAAAAAAAAAAGUAUAUAUGUAUAUGUAUAUAUAUAU